rfam:Fukomys damarensis contig75416, whole genome shotgun sequence.
GUGUUGUAUGAAAGGAGAAAGGAUCAACACUGCCCUGCAGAAGAAUGGAAGAGGCCCUUGGCCUAUAGGACGCAUAAGGUUAAGGCAUUGCAACAUUCUUAGUGCCACUUAACAAUGAUUUCUC